rnacentral:misc_RNA from 1 species
GAAAUGCGAUAACUAAUGUGAAUUGCAGAUUUCAGUGAAUCAUCGAGUCUUUGAACGCAAGUGGCACUGUGAGGCAUGCCUCGCAGUAUACCUGUUCGAGCGUCGGCACAUUCAUCAACAUCUCCAAACUUGUUUGGCAGAUUGUUGGACGAUGUCUGUUGAACAAUUUCUUGUUCAUCAGUGACUAAAGUUAUUCCCUAGCGCCUAAUGCACUCUUUCGGCGACUAUCUCACGUAAUGUGGUAAGUGAUUUCAUCACAUUCCAUCAUUACUUGAUGUCGUACACCAAACGAGAGGGAUGAUUAGGAUAACGCUGUAGGGUCCCCCUUCAAUCAAACAUAUCACCACACGACCUCGAAUCAGGCAAGGCUACCCGCUGAAUUUAA